CGGGGGGCAGCAGUUGGGAAUCUUGGACAAUGGGGGAAACCCUGAUCCAGCCAUGCCGCGUGAGUGAUGAAGGCCUUCGGGUUGUAAAACUCUUUCGACGGGGACGAUAAUGACGGUACCCGUAGAAGAAGCUCCGGCUAACUUCGUGCCAGCAGCCGCGGUAAUACGAAGGGGGCUAGCGUUGUUCGGAAUUACUGGGCGUAAAGCGCGCGCAGGCGGCUAUCCAAGUCAGUGGUGAAAGCCCGGAGCUCAACUCCGGAACUGCCAUUGAAACUGUUUAGCUUGAGGACGAGAGAGGUGAGUGGAAUUCCCAGUGUAGAGGUGAAAUUCGUAGAUAUUGGGAAGAACACCGGUGGCGAAGGCGGCUCACUGGCUCGUAUCUGACGCUCAGGCGCGACAGCGUGGGGAUCAAACAGGAUUAGAUACCCGAGU
rnacentral:rRNA from 1 species